rnacentral:rRNA from 1 species
UAAAAAGACCAUCCCAGUUCGGAUUGCAGGCUGCAACCCGCCUGUAUGAAGUUGGAAUCGCUAGUAAUCGCGGAUCAGCAUGCCGCGGUGAAUACGUUCCCGGGCCUUGUACACACCGCCCGUCACACCAUGAGAGUCGGGAACACCCGAAGUCCGUAGCCUAACCGCAAGGAGGGCGCGGCCGAAGGUGGGUUCGAUAAUUGGGGUGAAGUCGUAACAAGGUAUC